CUGGUGAGGUCAUGACCUUGAGCCUUUUUGUUUUCUUUCUCAAGGUCUUUUACAUGCAUCGUUGGAUUGCAGUCUCAAGCCUGGGAUUCCAACGGAAUUAACGUCCAUUGAAAACUUACUGUGCUCAAGGCACAGAACGGGGUAGUUUUAUACACAUUCUCCCAUUUGGAUUUUUCAAAGACAACAUCUAAUCAUCCCCAGAGAAAUUUCAGCUGAGAAGACAGGAUGAUGAAGUGCCCUGGGGGCCAGAGUCCAGACAAGUAUUUUGGCACCUCCAAGGACUCGCAGAACACAGAGAGGAAAAGAGAGACCCUGUUAUCUUUCCGCAGGGGUGGCCGUUCAAACUCUCAGAGAUGGAAGUUAAGAUUUCCUUUGGUAUAAGUGGCAGUUUGACUGGCUGCAAGGAGAGCCUCAGUUUGUUUAAUUUGGAGUAAAAUUUUAUGAGUUAAUCUCUAGUGAGGGAAAGCAGCAGUAAACACAGAACAUACUGGACUGGGAUCUGUUAGCACUCAUCACUGUCUGAGAUCUGCUGUAAAGCACAUCCUAGGAAAAUGUUAUUGAAGCCACGGAAGGAGGGCUGGAAGUUCUGGCUCAGCAUGGGCUCCAACAGAAAUGGAAGCAUCUGCUGAGGCUGGACAAGAAUGCUUACCCUGAAGAGGCGUUGUUGUGAGGACCAAAUAAAAUAACAUUCACAAUGCACUGGAACAGGAUCUGGCAUAUAGCAGAACCUCAGUAAUUUCAUAUGCUCUCUCUCAGUUCAUAUACUAUAGUACAUAGUAUCUAUCUAUAGAUGUAUGUGUACAGAUAUCAUACAUAAUAUUUUACUUUUUUCAUAGAUAAAUGGACAGCA
rnacentral:lncRNA from 1 species